GACGUAGGGCGCGAGCGUUGUCCGGAUUUAUUGGGCGUAAAGAGCUCGUAGGUGGUUUGUCGCGUUGUCCGUGAAAACUCACAGCUUAACUGUGGGCGUGCGGGCGAUACGGGCAGACUGGAGUACUGCAGGGGAGACUGGAAUUCCUGGUGUAGCGGUGGAAUGCGCAGAUAUCAGGAGGAACACCGGUGGCGAAGGCGGGUCUCUGGGCAGUAACUGACGCUGAGGAGCGAAAGCGUGGGGAGCGAACAGG
rnacentral:rRNA from 1 species